ensembl:lncRNA
UCGAUUUGUAGUUGAGCAUGAAAUUGCACUGCAACUGAUCGGGUAUAAAGUACCAGAGAAAGUAGAUUUAUUGUUCAUUUGUUAUCAAUGACUUGGUCUAGUUCACCAGCUUUAAAAAAUCGUGUCUACGUGCAAUUUAUGUAUAGUUGACCGGGAAAUUAAAGCAGCAAUCACUUGGACUAUUUCGCAGCACCCCUCUCACAUUGGUACAUCCCCCCAGGUAUUCAUUGUCUUCUACAGUAGAGCGGGACAUUUGAUUUACUCUCAGCGGAAUUGACCGGAGAAGGCACCAGUUCAUGCACUGCACUGGCCCGCACCACGAUUAGUAUAAGGCACAUUUCACGAAGCAGAACGCAGUCUUCAGAGAUAUCCACGUGAACGCUGUGAUACUGACCUUCAGUCCGAAGAAGAAACCCAGACCAGUCUUAAAAGAAAGCACAAACCAAAUGCCCUGUACACAUAUACGGACUCAGAGGAUGAGCAGCCUACAAAAAAUGGUUUCCCCAGGCCCUUCG